UAGCGUAGGGGGCAAGCGUUUGUCCGGAUUUAUUGGGCGUAAAGAGCGUGUAGGCGGCUUUACAGGUCCGUUGUGAAAACUCGAGGCUCAACCUCGAGACGCCGGUGGAUACUGUCGGGCUAGAGUACGGAAGAGGCGAGUGGAAUUCCUGGUGUAGCGGUGAAAUGCGCAGAUAUCAGGAGGAACACCCAUUGCGAAGGCAGCUCGCUGGGACGUUACUGACGCUGAGACGCGAAAGCGUGGGGAGCAAACAGG
rnacentral:rRNA from 1 species